rnacentral:misc_RNA from 1 species
CCUGAUGCUUUCAAGGAAGCCUCUCCUUCUCAGGUGGCAUCAGCAGCUACAAUUUCUGUAGCAUUUAUGGAAGCUUUGAGCACCAUGUUUCAGAAUUUCAGCCAUGACUACAGUGCAGAAGAUGCUUCAGGUUUCUUUGUUUCACUGCUUUUUGGCCUUGGGCCGUUGCUUGGUGGCAUCAUUCUUGUUGCAUUUGCUCUUGCAUUCCAUCUUCAGCAUGCCCUUCUCAUGGGUGCAGCAUCUGGCAUUUCCUUUGUCCUCGGUGCAUGGCGACCACUACAGCUACUUGUGUCAUCAAAGAUGGGGAUUAUACCUCUUGUAUUUUUGCUUACUGUGGGAGCAGUAUUUGUCCAUUUUUGUGGCUCCAGUAUUUUGAGUCUUUCAGGUCGCAAAAGGGCAUCAGCAAAUAAUCUACCCACAAUAAGUGGCUUUCCCAUGAGUAUUCACACCCUUCAAUCGUUCCUUUCAUGCGGAGCAGUUGCCUUCCAUGCAUUGGCUGAGGGACUUGCCCUAGGGGUGGCUGCACCAAAAGCUUAUGGACUUGGUCGGCACAUGGUCCUUCCUGUCUCUUUACAUGGACUUCCCCGUGGUGCUGCUGUGGCUAGCUGCAUCUUUGGCGCUACCGACAGCUGGCACAAUGCUCUAGCAGCAGCUGCUUUAAUUGGAUUUAUGGGUCCAAUGUCCGCCAUUGGAGCAAUACUUGCAGGAAUUGACUACAGUGGUUUGGAUCAUAUAAUGGUUUUAGCAUGUGGGGGUUUACUCCCAAGCUUUGGAAGGAUAAUCCAAAGAGCACUAAACUUGGAUACUAGGAAAGGCAUUUCUGGGCUUGCAAUAGGAGUUGGUUUUGCUACUCUUUGCUUAACAUGCACUAAGUUGGUUUGCUUGCACACACCAUAUUGCAACUCUGCUCCAGAGGCUGUCACAUAAGAGCUAUUGAUUUGUCGUUCACUUUACUGCGAUGGCAUGUUCAGUGAACUUGAAAGAACAGAUUAUCUCGGGGAUAAAAGGAUGAUUCCGNNNNNNNUACUAUUUUCUCUUUUUUUUUUUUGGCUUUCUCAAUUCUCUAAAAGAUAUAAAGAGGAGGAAAAAUUUGUGGAUUGGCUGACUGGCUGCAGCUG